UACAGAGGUCUCGAGCGUUAGGCGGAAUCACUGGGCUUAAAGCGUGUGUAGGUGGAUCGUUAAGUACCUUGUGAAAUCUCACGGCUUAACCGUGGAACUGCUUGGUAUACUGGCGGUCUUGAGCCAGCUAGGGGCUACCGGAACAAAUGGUGGAGCGGUGAAAUGCGUAGAUAUCAUUUGGAACGCCAAUGGUGAAAACAGGUAGCUGGGGCUGUGCUGACACUGAGACACGAAAGCCAGGGGAGCAAACGGG
rnacentral:rRNA from 1 species